rnacentral:rRNA from 1 species
GAAGGCCCUAGGGUUGUAAAGCACUUUAAGCAGGGAGAAAAAGCUAUAAGUUAAUACCUUAUAGCCCUGAUGUUACCUGCAGAAUAAGCACCGGCUAAUUCCGUGCCAGCAGCCGCGGUAAUACGGAAGGUGCAAGCGUUAAUCGGAAUUACUGGGCGUAAAGCGCGCGUAGGUGGUUUGUUAAGUUGGAUGUGAAAGCCCUGGGCUCAACCUAGGAACUGCAUCCAAAACUAACUCACUUGAGUACGAUAGAGGGAGGUAGAAUUCAUAGAGUAGCGGUGGAAUGCGUAUAUAUUAUUAAGAAUACAGUGGCGAAGGCGGCCUCCUGGAUCUGUACUGACACUGAGGUGCGAAAGCGUGGGUAGCGAACAGGAUUAGAUACCCUGGUAGUCCACGCCGUAAACGAUGACAACUAGCUGUUGGGAGACAAAGUCUUUCAGUGGCGCAGCUAACGUUU